rnacentral:rRNA from 1 species
GCAUAUCAAUAAGCGGAGGAAAAGAAACCUACAUGAUCCCUAGUAGCGGCGAGUGAGCGGGAAGAGCUCAAAUUUGAAAUCUGGCGUCCUUCGGGCGUCCGAGUUGUAAUCUAUAGAAGCGUUUUCCGCGCUGGACCGUGUCUAAGUCCCUUGGAACAGGGUAUCAAAGAGGGUGAUAAUCCCGUACUUGACACGACCACCAGUGCUCUGUGAUACGUUCUCUACGAGUCGAGUUGUUUGGGAAUGCAGCUCAAAAUGGGUGGUAAAUUCCAUCUAAAGCUAAAUAUUGGCGAGAGACCGAUAGCGAACAAGUACCGUGAGGGAAAGAUGAAAAGCACUUUGGAAAGAGAGUUAAACAGUACGUGAAAUUGUUGAAAGGGAAACGAUUGAAGUCAGUCGUGUUCAUUGGACUCAGCCAGUUCUUCUGGUCUAUUUCCUUUGAACGGGUCAACAUCAGUUUUGUCCGGUGGAUAAAGGUAUUAGGAAUGUGGCUCUUUCGGGAGUGUUAUAGCCUAGUAUUGCAUACACUGGGGGAGACUGAGGACUGCAGCUCGCCUUUUGGCCGGGGUUCGCCCACGUUCGAGCUUAGGAUGUUGACAUAAUGGCUUUAAACGACCCGUCUUGAAACACGGACC